rnacentral:rRNA from 1 species
UACGUAGGGUGCAAGCGUUGUCCGGAAUUAUUGGGCGUAAAGAGCUCGUAGGCGGUCUGUCGCGUCGGCUGUGAAAACCCGGAGCUCAACUCCGGGCCUGCAGUCGAUACGGGCAGACUGGAGUUCGGCAGGGGAGACUGGAAUUCCUGGUGUAGCGGUGAAAUGCGCAGAUAUCAGGAGGAACACCGGUGACGAAGGCGGGUCUCUGGGCCGAUACUGACGCUGAGGAGCGAAAGCGUGGGGAGCGAACAGG